GACGAACGCUGGCGGCGUGCUUAACACAUGCAAGUCGAACGGAAAGGCCCCUUUUGGGGUACUCGCGUGGCGAACGGGUGGGUAACACGUGAGUAAGCUGCCCUUGACUUCGGGAUAAAUUCAGGCAACUGGGGGUGAUACCGGCUAGGAAUCCUUGCUUCAUGGUGGGGGUGGGAAAGCUUCGGCGGUUUUGGAGGGAAGGGCGGCUUAUCAGCUUGGUGGUGGGGUGGGGGCUUUCCAAGGCUUUGACUGGUAGGCAGCCUGAGGGGGGUACCGGCCACAAUGGGACUGAGAAACGGUCCAGACCCCUUCGGGAGGCAGCAGGGGGGAAUAUUGCACAAUGGGCGGAAGCCUGAUGCAGCAACGCCGCCGGCGGGAUGACGGCCUUCGGGUUGUAAACCGCUUUCAGCAGGGGAGAAGCUUGUAGUGACGGUACCGGCAGAAGAAGCACCGGCUAACUACGUG
rnacentral:rRNA from 1 species